ensembl:lncRNA
GUAGAAGCUUUGGGUGUAUUUGCCGACUCUACUAGGCCUGUUGUUGUUCUCACUGCAUUUCCUGUUGUAGCUAUCCUGAUUGUUUCCGGUUCAUUGCUAAUAGUUGCUGAUGUGGUUGUGCCCAGUGCAGUUGCUGGCAAUACUGAUGUCACCUGUCCAAAUGUAGAAGCUUUGGGUGUAGUAGGAGACUCUAUUAAGCCUGUUGUUGUUGUCACUGUGUCUUCUGUUGUAGUUAUCCUGAUUGUUUCCUGUUCAUUGCUAAGAGUUGCUGAUGUGGUUGGGCCCAAUGCAGUUGCUGGCAAAGCUGAUGUUACUGGUGCAAAUGUAGAAGCUUUGGUUGUAGUAGCAGACUCUACUAGGCCUGUUGUCAUUGUCAAUGUAUCUUCUGUUGUAGUUAUUCUGAUUGUUUCCGGCUCAUUGCUACCAGUUGCUGAUGUGGUUGUGCCCAAUGCAGUUGCUGGCAAUGCUGAUGUUACUUGUAGAAAUGUAGAAGCUUUGGGUGUAGUAGCCGACUCUACUAGGCCUGUUGUUGUUGUCACUGUAUUUCCUGUUGUAGCUAUCCUGAUUGUUUCCGGUUCAUUGCUAACAGUUGCUGAUGUGGUUGUGCCCAAUGCAGUUGCUGGCAAAACUGAUGUUACCGGUGCAAAUGUAGAAGUUUUUGCUGUAGAAGCAGACACUAUUCGGCCUGUUGAUGUUGUCACUGUAUUUUCUGUUGUAGUUAUACUGAUUGUUUCCGGUACAUUGCUAACAGUUGCUGAUGUGGUUGUGCCCAAUGCAGUUGCUGGCAAAGCUGAUGUCACUGGUAAAAAUGUAGAAGCUUUGGGUCUAGUAGCAGACUCUACUAGACCUGUUGUUGUUGUCACUGUAUCUUCUGUUGUAGUUAUCCUGAUAGUUUCUGGCUCAUUGCUAACAGUUGCUGGUGUGGUUGUGCCCAAUGCAGUUGCUGGCAAUGCUGAUUUCACCGGUACCAAGGUAGAAGCUUUGGUUGUAGUAGCAGACUCUACUAGGCCUGUUGUCAUUGUCAAUGUAUCUUCUGUUGUAGUUAUUCUGAUUGUUUCCGGUACAUUGCUAACAGUUGCUGAUGUGGUUGUGCCCAAUGCAGUUGCUGGCAAAGCUGAUGUCACUGGUAAAAAUGUAGAAGCUUUGGGUCUAGUAGCAGACUCUACUAGACCUGUUGUUGUUGUCACUGUAUCUUCUGUUGUAGUUAUCCUGAUAGUUUCUGGCUCAUUGCUAACAGUUGCUGGUGUGGUUGUGCCCAAUGCAGUUGCUGGCAAUGCUGAUUUCACCGGUACCAAGGUAGAAGCUUUGGGUGUAGUAGCAGACUCUACUAGGCCUGUUGUUGUUGUCUCUGUAUUUUCUGUUGCAGUUAUCCUGAUUGUUUCCAGUCCAUUGCUAACAGUUGCUGAUGUGGUUGUGCCCAAUGCAGAUGCUGGCAAAGCUGAUGUUACUGGUGCAAAUGUAGAAGUUUUUGCUGUAGUAGCAGACACUAUUUGGCCUGUUGAUGCUGUCACUGUAUUUCCGGUUGUAGCUAUCCUGAUUGUUUCCGAUUCAUUGCUAACAGUUGCUGAUGUGGUUGUGCCCAAUGCAGUUGCUGGCAAUGCUGAUGUUACCUGUGCAAAUGUAGAAUCGUUGGGUGUAGUAGCAGACUCUACUAAGCCUGUUGUUGUUGUUGUCACUGAAUCUUCUGUUGUACUUAUCCUGAUUGUUUCCGAUUCAUUGCUAACAGUUGCUGAUGUGGUUGUGCCCAGUGCAGUUGCUGGCAAUACUGAUGUUACUGGUGCAAAUGUAGAAGUUUUUGCUGUAGUAGCAGACACUAAUAGGCCUGUUGAUGUUGUCGCUGUAUUUUCUGUUGUAGUUGUCCUGAUUGUUUCAAGUCCAUUGCUAACAGUUGCUGAUGUGGUUGUGCCCAAUGCAGUUGCAUGUAAAACAGAUGUCACUGGUACAAAUGUAGAAGCUUUGGGUGUACUAGCAGACUGUACUACACCUGUUGUUGUCACUGUAUCUUCUGUUGGAGUUAUCUUGAUUGUUUCCAGUCCAUUGCUAACAGUUGC